rnacentral:rRNA from 1 species
GAUCCUGGCUCAGGAUGAACGCUAGCUACAGGCUUAACACAUGCAAGUCGAGGGGAAACGACAUCGAAAGCUUGCUUUGGUGGGCGUCGACCGGCGCACGGGUGAGUAACGCGUAUCCAACCUGCCCACCACUUGGGGAUAACCUUGCGAAAGUAAGACUAAUACCCAAUGAUAUCCCACGAAGGCAUCCGAAUGGGAUUAAAGAUUUAUCGGUGAUGGAUGGGGAUGCGUCUGAUUAGCUUGUUGGCGGGGUAACGGCCCACCAAGGCAACGAUCAGUAGGGGUUCUGAGAGGAAGGUCCCCCACAUUGGAACUGAGACACGGUCCAAACUCCUACGGGAGGCAGCAGUGAGGAAUAUUGGUCAAUGGGCGAGAGCCUGAACCAGCCAAGUAGCGUGCAGGAUGACGGCCCUAUGGGUUGUAAACUGCUUUUGUGCGGGGAUAAAGUGUGGGACGUGUCCCAUAUUGCAGGUACCGCAUGAAUAAGGACCGGCUAAUUCCGUG